CACACACGCACACACACACACACACACACACAGCGGGAGGCACACCCCUCUUGACUCAGCUCCAACAGCAAAGCGCCUUAAUACACUCACUCUCUUUUUCUCUCUCAUACAUACAUACAUACAUACAUACAUACAUAGACACACAGACAAUGGUCCAUCUAAGACAGUAUGGCUGACAUCACGCAAUAUGACACACAUACAGGUCUUGUUGCAUUGUCCAACACCAAGCUGUGACCAGAAGCCAACAUGCUUAAAGGUUGGAGAGGAGGGUCUCACCACUUAACAUUAGCAAGUGCAAGGACAGCCAGGAAAACAUGCACUACAUGAAUAGCACUAAAAUGUGUCAAGACACAUAUACUUGCCUUACUGAUACAAUCUAUGCGAAAAGCCUGACAUUGUUCUAUGCAAAAGCCUUGACACAAUUAUCCUGAUUUUAUUCACUGACUUUCACAACCGACAAAUAAAAUACUUUUGUACUUCACAUCACCAACAAAUCUUUUUGCAAAAACAUUGACACGUUCAAGCUGAAGGUGAUAUUGCAUCGGAAUCAAAAAAUGUGCCGCUCUAAGCUGCAGACCUUACCGGGAUCAUCUGUUAACAGCUCCACUGCAGACCCGGCGCGCCAGACAGGAGUGAGGGGGGAAUACUGCAAGACAAUGCACACCGGUAUUUUGACACCAAACAUCGGUAAACAGUGACACAAACGAUCUGUCUUAUUCAGUUGGAGACAAAUAUGCGGUCUACAGCAUGUUGAAUAUUCCAGCUAAUUUGAAAACAGAACCCAUAUCUUCAGCUGUGAUCUAACAGAGUAUGCAUGACUUCAUCGGGUCUCGUCGUCUAAUUUUAGGACUGUAGCUACUACCCAGUCAUACAUCCUUGUACUUAGUCUUUUUAGCGUUCAUUUGUCAGUGUACAUAAUGUUCCUACCUAGUAAAAUGAAGCACCCACAACGGUAAACCUUGGAAUAAGUUGCAAAAAAAUCGGUUUCUUGUUGACUGCCCGUUAAGGUCAGUGAAAUGCUCUCUGCCUAGAUGUCAUUGUGAGCUAUUCUAAUGGAGCGACGAGGUGAUAGAAGGAGAAUACCAACUCUUUAGUUCAGUACGGUCAUUUUGUUACCAUAGCACACGGGCAGUUCUGCAAACCCAACUGAUAUGACAUGAAACACAUACUGUACUGCAAUAAGUAUGUCUUGCAACCAAACCUCUUAUCAAUGUGCAAAGUAUUCAGUUUGCUGAUAGCCAGGGCAGCUGCUGGAUAGCUUCGAAACAACCAGGAGCUAAUGUCAAAUCGUAGACUUAUUAACCCUGACGUCAACAGUGAACAACAAAUAACUAACGUUAGACUACUAGUGAUGUUCACGACCUUUAUAUAGUUAGGUAAGGUUAUCCAUCAUACUAAAAUAUGUACUGCGUCGAAAUUGGUUUCAUAUAUGUUAAAGGAAAUUGUCCGAACAGAGACAACGGGAUCGCUAAAUGACUAUGAAGGGCUCAACGCUUCCAGUUAUUUCCCCUUUAUUUACCAAAUUUGGUCGCAUUGCCACGACUUUCCGGUUGGACUCCACCACAACUGAAGAACAAAGCCGCACACUUCUCAGGCUAGCAGUUGCAGUCAGGCAUGAUCAUUGCUCACUAAUAACAUUCACGCGUUGAUGACAUUUCUAACAAAUAUUGAGCUAGAUAGAUUGAGUAAUUGUCUCGUCAAAUACAGACACAAUGCCCAGUUAGCCCUCGUUUGGCAGCUGGAAAGCUCAAACCAUGCUAUGCUAAGGUUAGCUGGCAAACGUUACACUUGGAGUAUGUAGGAGGACUUGCAUUAGGUAACUGCAAGCGACCCAGUUAGCCGUCUUCCAUGCAAAGGUUUUGUUUCAUGGUCGAAAUAUACGAUAUGCAAUUCUACUGUUAAACAUCUCUGCUAGAGAACUUCGCUAAUCAUCGACCUUAUGCUAAAAACUACUAAGUAUAAGCUUUAGCCAAGUUAGCUUGCUGAGUUAUUCAGAGGACUGUCUUGCAAGGUGAUAUUUUGCAAGUUUACCAAGCCGUGUCAUUGCAACUAUCUGGCAUUAAUGCAGUCAAUGUUACUUACACACCCCUUCAUGUCGUCCAGUUUUGACUCAGAAUUGCUGUUGCACAGCAAUAUCAUGCAAAAAAACAGGUAAUUCAGUUGAAUGGAUAUUAGAUAGCCAAGGUACCGUUCUCAAAACAAUUAGCACAGCCUUUUACUGGGUACUGCGGCCCCGUUUAAGGCUGCGUUGAGUCACCUACCAAUAGCUUUAAAUUUGGUAGUUAGUUACACCCAACAAUGAGCCUUUCUAACCACUGUUGGCCUGGGGCCAAGCCCCCCAUUCCAGCCGCAGCAACGAUACCGCUAGCCAGACUGCUUACUCGACAGUCCGACAAAUCUACCGAAGCCCUUCUCUGUC
ensembl:lncRNA